GUGGGGAAUUUUCCGCAAUGGGCGAAAGCCUGACGGAGCGACGCCGCGUGGGGGAUGAAGGAUUUCGGUUUGUAAACCCCUUUCGGCAGGGAAGAAACAAUGACGGUACCUGCAGAAGAAGCAUCGGCUAACUACGUGCCAGCAGCCGCGGUAAGACGUAGGAUGCGAGCGUUGUUCGGAUUUAUUGGGCGUAAAGCGUACGUAGGCGGUUCGGUAAGUGGGAGGUUAAAGACCAGGGCUCAACCCUGGGAGUGCCCCCCAAACUGUCGGACUAGAGGAUCAUAGGGGAAGGUGGAAUUCCGAGUGUAGCGGUGAAAUGCGUAGAUAUUCGGAGGAACGCCAGUGGCGAAAGCGACCUUCUGGGUGACACCUGACGCUGAGGUACGAAAGCAUGGGGAGCAAACAGGAUUAGAAACCCUUGUAGUCC
rnacentral:rRNA from 1 species